rnacentral:rRNA from 1 species
AGCGAACGCUGGCGGCAGGCCUAACACAUGCAAGUCGAACGAACUCUUCGGAGUUAGUGGCGGACGGGUGAGUAACACGUGGGAACGUGCCUUUAGGUUCGGAAUAACUCAGGGAAAUUUGAGCUAAUACCGGAUGUGCCCUUCGGGGGAAAGAUUUAUCGCCUUUAGAGCGGCCCGCGUCUGAUUAGCUAGUUGGUGAGGUAAAGGCUCACCAAGGCGACGAUCAGUAGCUGGUCUGAGAGGAUGAUCAGCCACAUUGGGACUGAGACACGGCCCAAACUCCUACGGGAGGCAGCAGUGGGGAAUCUUGCGCAAUGGGCGAAAGCCUGACGCAGCCAUGCCGCGUGAAUGAUGAAGGUCUUAGGAUUGUAAAAUUCUUUCACCGGGGACGAUAAUGACGGUACCCGGAGAAGAAGCCCCGGCUAACUUCGUG